rnacentral:lncRNA from 1 species
CAUUUUGCACAAUUAAAAUCCUAGUAAAAAAAAAGAUAAAGAUAUACAAAACUCAUCUCAAUUAUAGAUCAUUUUGAAACAGCUAUCGAACCUUUCAAUUUUGUUUUAUUUGAGUCAGUCAACGAUAUUUCGACUUCAAAUUUUAAACUAAAUACUUACUUUAAUAAAUUUAUAAUAGUGGAAUUAGAUGAUGUGUACUAAUUAAAUUUGUAAUGGUUAAUAGCGCAUUUAAAUUUUAAAAUCAAACUAUCAUUACU